rnacentral:rRNA from 1 species
GACUCUGGGAUAAGCGCUGGAAACGGCGUCUAAUACCGGAUACGAGCUGCGAAGGCAUCUUCAGCAGCUGGAAAGAACUUCGGUCAGGGAUGAGCUCGCGGCCUAUCAGCUAGUUGGUGAGGUAAUGGCUCACCAAGGCGUCGACGGGUAGCCGGCCUGAGAGGGUGACCGGCCACACUGGGACUGAGACACGGCCCAGACUCCUACGGGAGGCAGCAGUGGGGAAUAUUGCACAAUGGGCGCAAGCCUGAUGCAGCAACGCCGCGUGAGGGACGACGGCCUUCGGGUUGUAAACCUCUUUUAGCAGGGAAGAAGCGAAAGUGACGGUACCUGCAGAAAAAGCGCCGGCUAACUACGUGCCAGCAGCCGCGGUAAUACGUAGGGCGCAAGCGUUAUCCGGAAUUAUUGGGCGUAAAGAGCUCGUAGGCGGUUUGUCGCGUCUGCUGUGAAAACCCGAGGCUCAACCUCGGGCCUGCAGUGGGUACGGGCAGACUAGAGUGCGGUAGGGGAGAUUGGAAUUCCUGGUGUAGCGGUGGAAUGCGCAGAUAUCAGGAGGAACACCGAUGGCGAAGGCAGAUCUCUGGGCCGUAACUGACGCUGAGGAGCGAAAGGGUGGGGAGCAAACAGGCUUAGAUACCCUGGUAGUCCACCCCGUAAACGUUGGGAACUAGUUGUGGGGUCCAUUCCACGGAUUCCGUGACGCAGCUAACGCAUUAAGUUCCCCGCCUGGGGAGUACGGCCGCAAGGCUAAAACUCAAAGGAAUUGACGGGGACCCGCACAAGCGGCGGAGCAUGCGGAUUAAUUCGAUGCAACGCGAAGAACCUUACCAAGGCUUGACAUAUACGAGAACGCUGCAAAAAUGUAGAACUCUUUGGACACUCGUAAACAGGUGGUGCAUGG